UUUUCGUAGGUGAACCUGCGAAAGGAUCAUUACCGGCACAACUGAACGAAACGAGGAUGGCUCUCGCAGGACGAGAGAGUAGGCGAUUCCUUAGAGGAUCGUCGCAGUUCCGUAAGCAUGCGUGGUGGACGGCUCGGUUCCCGCGUCGAUGAAGGACGUAGCGAGAUACGAAAGGUGUUGCGAAUUGCAAGAUUUCGCGAGUCAAUGACCAUCCGAAUGCAUCGCCGCCCUUCCUUCGCCUUCGGGCGGAGGGAGGACGCGUCGGCGACAUCGCCCCGCACGAGCGCUCUCCCCCUCCAGCGGAGAGGCGGCCGUGGACGGACCACCCGACCCUCGGCGUGUCCGUGCCAGCUCGCACAGCACCCGCGUGGCCUCGAACGACUGCGUGUGGACGUCUCAGAAAGCUAGCUGCGAUGUCGUCGGCGAGGAAACCCGCUGAACUUAAGCAUAUCAUUAAGCGG
rnacentral:rRNA from 1 species